AUGUUCGUUACUGAGUUUCGUGUUUCCCCGUAACUCCUAGGAACGCGGUCUCAAAUUACCCGCUUCAAAUUCAAGCCUGACACCCGUCAGCUGAUUCAAACCUUGGUGAAACGUGGAGCCACGUGAGAGAUGCAAAUUGCAAUCCAAAAUUAAAUAUUAUGAGACUGCCAGGAUGUGUCGACAAAAUAUUCUAGAUCAGCACUCUUAAUCUCAUUCUAACGCAAUGUUAUGCGGGACAAAAAUACCGAGCACACAAUGAAAGACCUUGCCUUUGUUGAAGCUUCCUUUUUUAAAGGGAGACCAGAAAGGAUAGAGAAACCCUGAGCACUCAAAAUACAACAAAAAAGAGGGAUGCCUGGUACAAUGUGCCUACUGUACUGAGUAGAGCAUGCAACUCCUGAUUUCAGGGUCAUGAGUUGAAGCCCCAUGUAGGGCAUGGAACCUCUUAAAAAGAGAGAGACAAAAGUACAACAAAAACAAUAAUAACAACAUUUAUUGAACACUCCCUGCACGUCAAGCACUGUGGUCCUCCUCCAUCAAGAUUUCAUCACUUUCAAGAAGCAGUAAAGCAUCUAGAAAAUCUCAGUACUGAGAAAGAAGUAAGUAUUUACGAAAGUUUUCCUCUCACUAACAAGAGACUGUACGUGCACCGGGGGAGACUGGCCCAGGGGUGAUGGUAACAGAAGUGAUAGAAACUAAGCAGAAUGAGAAAAAUCCAAAUGGACCCAGGGAACAGUAUCAAGACUGAUCCUCACCAGAUGAUUCAAAUUCCUAAAAUCUGGGAUGUACUGAGUUUUUGUUUCACUGUGGAGGUUGCUUUCCUUACACAUGCCUUCUGAGCAGAAGUAGAUUUUAACAAGAUUAAGCCUUCUGUUGCCUGGAAAAAAGAAUACAUUAAUUGGUAAAUAAAUCAUCAAAAUUUGUUUAAUUAAGUACGUAAGCUACUUACAGAAGCACAGCACUUUCUGGAAUAAAGGGAGUCCUAGCCAUGUUGAUUUGGGGUCAGCAGGGAUGAGGUGCAUCGAAGGAGAGGAUCCGGUCCAGGUGAGGUAGCCCAUGGCUGCAGGAGGACUAAGAAUGGCCUGUAACAAACAUGGGGAUAUACUGGGAAGAAAUCACCAAUAUUAAGAGAUGAAUAAAGGAGAGGUUAAGGGGAGAUCUUAAUCAACUUUACCAUUUUGGCAAGGUUUACAGUUAAUUUGUUCUAAAGAUGUGUGUUCCUUGCAGAACACAGGAAGAAACCAUAUACACAUAGGAGGAUGUCUUAUAAAGAAUAGUUUAUAUGUACUCCCAGUCCCAGCCUCAAAAUUCGGAUGGCCUGGAGUCCACUCUCCCUUCUCCUCAUAUUCCUGAUGCACACACAUGAGGACACACCAACCUGAAGGUUUCAUCUGGUUCCAAGACCAGCCUGACCACCCCAUACACCUGCAGUGUGGGGGCCCUGUUAACAGGAAAUUCUGGAAUCCUAGGUAGCUAAAAGGAAGGGAUCCAGGUCUGGAUGAACAUGUUCUUUUGGCCACUUAACUCCUCAAAUUGGGAGGGGCAGGGCAAGAAAAGGCAGGUACCCUUAAAAAUAUGGAAAUAUAGCCUCUUCUUCCCAUCCCCCCACCAGUGACAUUACCCUAGUGUUAUAAAUACAUGUGCACAAUGUUCAUUUAGAGUGACUUUCAGUUUAGUUCAAGACAUGUACAAGACUUUAUUAACACCACCUAGAAAAAUAGGGAACGUCUCAGUGAAUGAGAAAGCACUGUAUUAAGUGUGUAAGUAUGGGUAAAAAUUGUGAUUUCUUUGGAAGAAAGGUCAAAUGUGUUCACCUCUGCUCUUUGGAUCAUAGAAUAAUCAAGUUUACAGCUUAA